rnacentral:ncRNA from 1 species
GUUGUCUUUUGCUACGGUGGGGGGGAACCCGACGAGACGCGCCGUACCGGGUACGACAAGACGACGCACC